rnacentral:tRNA from 1 species
GCAGCAGUAGUUCAGUGAUAAGAACUCUUGCCUUCCAUGUGGGAGACCUGGGUUUGAUUCCCACCAAUGCA